GGACGAACGCUGGCGGCGCGCCUAACACAUGCAAGUCGAGCGGGCUUAAAGAAGCUUGCUUUUUAAGGCUAGUGGCGGACGGGUGAGUAACACGUGAGCAACCUGCCUUCAGAGGGGAAUAACGAUUGGAAACGAUCGCUAAUACCGCAUAAUGCUGCGAGAGGACAUCCUCAUGCAGCCAAAGGAGUAAUCCGCUGAAAGAUGGGCUCGCGGCCGAUUAGAUAGUUGGUGAGGUAAUGGCUCACCCAAGUCGACGAUCGGUAGCCGGACUGAGAGGUUGAUCGGCCACAUUGGGACUGAGACACGGCCCAGACUCCUACGGGAGGCAGCAGUGGGGGAUAUUGCACAAUGGAGGAAACUCCUGAUGCAGCGACGCCGCGUGAGGGAAGACGGUCUUCGGAUUGUAAACCUCUGUCUUAGGGGAAGAAAAAUGACGGUACCCUAAGAGGAAGCUCCGGCUAACUACGUGCCAGCAGCUGC
rnacentral:rRNA from 1 species